rnacentral:rRNA from 1 species
UACGUAGGGUCCGAGCGUUGUCCGGAAUUAUUGGGCGUAAAGGGCUCGUAGGCGGUUUGUCGCGUCGGGCGUGAAAACCUACAGCUUAACUGUGGGCUUGCUUUCGAUACGGGCAGACUUGAGGCAUGCAGGGGAGACUGGAAUUCCUGGUGUAGCGGUGAAAUGCGCAGAUAUCAGGAGGAACACCAGUGGCGAAGGCGACUUCCUGGCCUGUUCUUGACGCUGAGGCGCGAAAGCUAGGGGAGCAAACGGG